rnacentral:rRNA from 1 species
UGCCAGCAGCCGCGGUAACACGUAAGGGGCAAGCGUUGUUCGGAUUUAUUGGGCGUAAAGGGCGUGUAGGCGGUUUGCCAAGCCUGAUGUGAAAGCCCGGGGCUCAACCCCGGAAGUGCAUUGGAAACUGGCGAACUUGAGUACGGGAGAGGAAAGUGGAAUUCCGAGUGUAGGGGUGAAAUCCGUAGAUAUUCGGAGGAACACCAGUGGCGAAGGCGGCUUUCUGGACCGAUACUGACGCUGAGACGCGAAAGCGUGGGGAGCAAACAGGAUUAGAUA